UACGGGGGGAGCAAGCGUUGUUCGGAUUUACUGGGCGUAAAGGGCGCGUAGGCGGCGUGACAAGUCACUUGUGAAAUCUCCGGGCUUAACUCGGAGCGGCCAAGUGAUACUGUCGUGCUAGAGUGCGGAAGGGGCUACUGGAAUUCUCGGUGUAGCGGUGAAAUGCGUAGAUAUCAAGAGGAACACCUGAGGUGAAGACGGGUUGCUGGGCUGACACUGACGCUGAGGCGCGAAAGCCAGGGGAGCAAACGGG
rnacentral:rRNA from 1 species